GCUUACGGCCACACCAACCUGGCUAUGCCCGAUCUCGUCUGAUCUCGGAAGCUAAGCAGGUUUGGGCCUGUUUAGUACAUGGAUGGGAGACUGCCUGGGAAUACCAGGUGCUUUAAACU
rnacentral:rRNA from 1 species